UAACUCUGAACUUUUUUAGUUUACGCAUAAGUUUUUUGCCUUUUAGUAAAGACUUCCUUGGAGAAGGCCAAUUCGAUGAGUAUAUAGAUGAUUUUUCUGCUGUCUCUCUAACAU